rnacentral:lncRNA from 1 species
GGAAUCCAUUGAUGAAUAUAUGGUGAGAAAAAAGAAACACUUUAAAGAGCACGAUUCACUUAAUGAACUAAAGCUUGACAAAAAAGUGACCCCAGUUCCACCAAGAGGGAGACUCUCUGUACUCUGCACUCCUGCGAGGCAGCGGUGCUCACAGGGCCACUCAGCAACUAAAAUGAAUGUCAGGUUCUCAGCUGCUACUAAAGAUAAUGAACAUAAGUGCUCGCUGACCAAGACACCAGCCAGAAAGUCCCCACAUGUGACUGCACCUGGGAGUGCUUCAAAGGGCCAGGCUGUGCUCAAGACACCAAAGUUAAAGACCACUGAGAGGAAUUCCACUGCAGUUAUUACUCCAUUCAAGUUGAUGACUGAAGCAACACAGACUCCAGGUUCUAGUAAGAAACCGAUAUUUGAUCUCAAAGCAAGCUUGUCUCGUCCCCUCAACUACAAGCCACACAAAGGAAAGCUGAAACCUUGGGGCCAAGCUAAAGAGAAUAAUUCUCUGAAUGAAUGUGUGAGCAGAGUUACCCUGCACAGGAAAACUUACAAACAACCUCCUCUCCAGACCAGGGAAGAACAACGGAAGAGACAUGUGCAAGAACGGAAGGAGAGAAAAGAAAAGCUUUUGGAAGCUCGAAGAAACUUGGGUGUGACUAAAGCCCAGUGACCCUGCUGUCCCUUUCCUCCUCAUUCUCCUUUGUAUGUUUUUAUACUUUCUCUACUUCAAUCAAAAGCUCUUUUCUGUCAUAACUUGUAUAGUGCCUCCUCUGUGCUAUAUCUGAGAAUACAUUAUCACCUUAAAGUCCAUAACUGAAGUGACUUUCACUUAAUGUCCUGUACAACUCCAACUUUUAAAGACCUGUCCUUGUGAUCUUAAGAGCUUUUCAUGUCAAGGCCCUGCUAGUCCCGAUGGCGAUGACCUGCAUCCUUUUCUGCACAAGAGUCCCCUGAGCGGCAAGCUGAGGCAGAAGCUCAGUGUGAGAGAGUAAGAUGACGCUCCCAGGAGAGGGAGGCUGGGAGGCCACAUUUUUGUUCAGUAGCCUGGAAAAUCUAUUAGUCUUAUUGAAAUUAUAUUUUAUUUUGAUAGGUAAAAAGUUUUAGCUUAUAAGAGCCUUGUUCUGACAUUUCAGGUAUUUGCCAACUGUCACUCAUUAUAAUCCUAAACUAGAAAACCUCUACGCUCUCUUAAAUAGAAGCCACAGGGCAAAGGGUGUGCCUCAGUUGUACAGCACUCAGCUAUCACACACCUGCCCCUGAAUUUGACUCCUGGUCCCACCAAAAACAAAACCGAGAAUGGCUGCCGUAAGAAAACCUCCUUGGCAGACUUAGACCUCACAGUAGGAGAGGGAGCUGACCUUCUGACCUUGCUCGGCCCUGUAGAGACUCUGAGUU